AGGGGCACCGGAGGAAGAGACAUGAAAGGCAGCGGCAGAGCUGUCAUGUCUUCACUGAGGCGUCACAGACUGCCAAAAGAGAGAUUGUUCAUCAAUAUUACUGAAAUUGAGACGAAGGGGUCGUGGGAGAGUAUCUGUCGAUGAUAAGGAAUAGAGGACAGCUGGACUGAAGCCGAGAGCCGCCUACAACUCAGAGCAGAUGAACAUGAAAGGGAGAACCCAAUGGUUGGGAGAGAAAUAAUCCAACGCAGUAUGUGGACUCAGGAUGAUAUGCAUACAUGAAAACCAGGUGCAGUAACUAGAUUUACAUGUUGUGUUUUAUGUUUACAAAAACUGUCAGAGGAAAGGCAACGUGGCCUUUCUCUGGCAGGAGGAUGUGAUAGAGGAUGAAUUUAACUUAAUGUGCAGUAAUGGACACUGGGUAAUAUGUCACAAUCUGGGUCUAAUUAUACAUUGGCUUGAGAAGGUGUGGCCCAGCAGGAGAGUGGGAGAUGUAGGACAUGAAGGUCUUCUAUAUGUGAAGUCCGGGCACAAGUUGUGGGCUGUGUUUAGUCACUUCUGAGUCCUCUUUCGUGACAUUUAGACCCGGGUCAAGACCAGAUCCAACAUGAUGCACUUCAUCUGUUCACAAGUGAACACAUACACCAAAGCCUGCUCAAUGAAAGGUCAUUUGCAACUACAAGCUGUGGGUUGUGUGUCUGGAACAGCAGAGAUUUUUGGCUGUAGUGGUCCUCAUGGGGGGGUCUGUGGGAAUGAUAUGAUGGCCCAUGUGUGUGUGUGUCCAUAUCCAUGUGUGUCUCUUUGCGUACAUGAAUAGUGUUUCACUCUGGGAGACAGCCAGCCCACCAAAUAGACCAUGGGAGUGUAUGUCUGUCUGUGUGUGUGUGUGUGUGUGUGUGUGUGUGUGUGUAGUGUAGUUAUGACCCAUCCGAACACAUGAACAGUAAAAUACAUAACUGUACAUACCCAGAUCCCCUCCCGUACAGCCUCUCACUCGCCUGCUGUGUCGAAGUGAAUCACGGGUACUCUGGCAUUUGAACUGGUGUAAACACAGCAUGUUCAAAGGCUCUGUCCUGAUCCUAAAAAAAGUGUGUUGCUGAUUCUAUCCUUUCCCCCCACUCACACAAGUACACACUCACACUUACACCCGUCACAUAUUGUGCUGAGGACCUUAUGUGUGGAAUCGGGUGUGUGAGUGCACUGGGAUCGUCAGGCGAGAAAACUCCAGAAUUAGACCUCUAAUCCUCCACCAGAACCGACUGCAGAUUGUUUUUUGAUACACUGAUAGCUAUCUAAAAGUUUCCUCUGUCUCACAAAACAAUCCAGUGAAGUAAUUUCAUCAAUGAAAAAUCACAGUUUUACUGGCCUGGUAUGUGAAACAUGGUGUCACAAUCUGUUGUCAGAAAAAACAGAAUCUCAGUUUUUGCCGGAUGUUAAAUUUCAAAGGUUGCUGUAUCCUUUAAAACCAAGUAAUUGUAAUGCAGUGUGAGUUUUAAUAUCUUGAAAAGUAGCCAAUGUGUCAGUGAAUCAAGACAAUGAAUAAUUUGAUAUUUUGUUCAAGCGUCAGAAGAGAAGGUUGGGUGCAAAGUUCACAUUUGCAAAUAAAUAAAACACGUGCCUUUUUAAGGAACAAAACAGUCUCAAAUUUGAUAUUGAGAAGGAUGUUGAUGUCAGACUUCAUCAUAUCUUAACCCUGAGACAAUAACUCAAGAGAUGAUCUUUUCCUUAACAUGAUAAAGUAGUUUUAAUGUAAAACUAAACUAAAGUUUGAAGUUUUUUGUGGGACAGGUUCCUAGU